rnacentral:rRNA from 1 species
GACGAACGCUGGCGGCGUGCUUAACACAUGCAAGUCGAACGAAGAGCGAUGGAAGCUUGCUUCUAUCAAUCUUAGUGGCGAACGGGUGAGUAACGCGUAAUCAACCUGCCCUUCAGAGGGGGACAACAGUUGGAAACGACUGCUAAUACCGCAUACGAUCUAAUCUCGGCAUCGAGGAAAGAUGAAAGGUGGCCUCUAUUUAUAAGCUAUCACUGAAGGAGGGGAUUGCGUCUGAUUAGCUAGUUGGAGGGGUAACGGCCCACCAAGGCGAAGAUCAGUAGCCGGUCUGAGAGGGUGGACGGCCACAUUGGGACUGAGACACGGCCCAGACUCCUACGGGAGGCAGCAGUGGGGAAUCUUCCGCAAUGGACGAAAGUCUGACGGAGCAACGCCGCGUGAGGGAUGACGGCCGUCGGGUUGUAAAGCUCUGUUAAUCGGGACGAAAGGCCUUCUUGCGAACAGUUAGAAGGAUUGACGGUACCGGAAUAGAAAGCCACGGCUAACUACGUG